GACAGAGGAGGCGAGCGUUAUCCGGAGUUAUUGGGCGUAAAGGGUACGUCGGCGGCUGGUCAAGUCUGGGGUUAAAGACCACAGCUUAACUGCGGGGGGGCCUUGGAAACUGACCGGCUGGAGUGGGGCAGGGGUUGCGGGAAUUCCCGGUGUAGCGGUGAAAUGCGUGGAUAUCGGGAAGAACACCUGAGGCGAAAGCGCGCAACUGGGCCCUAACUGACGCUGAGGUACGAAAGCUAGGGGAGCGAAUGGG
rnacentral:rRNA from 1 species